rnacentral:misc_RNA from 1 species
UCUCCGUUGGUGAACCAGCGGAGGGAUCAUUACCGAGUUUACAACUCCCAAACCCCUGUGAACAUACCAUUUGUUGCCUCGGCGGUGCCUGCUUCAGCAGCCCGCCAGAGGACCCAAACCCUUGAUUUUAUACAGUAUCUUCUGAGUAAAUGAUUAAAUAAAUCAAAACUUUCAACAACGGAUCUCUUGGUUCUG